rnacentral:lncRNA from 10 species
GUUUAAGAUGUAAACUUUCCAUCUUAAGAUCUGAAUUGUGUCUAAGUUUCCAUCUUCCUUCUCACCAUUCCGCCAUCUUACUUGUUCUUCAACUAGCUUUAAAUGUUCAUGAGUUUUCACUUACACUGUGUUCUUCCAUGCUUACAAGUAUUUUUUGUGUAAUAUUCCCAGCACCUGAAUCCUCUUUCCUAUGUUACCCACCUGCCUCACUUUUACAUAGCUUUUGAUAUUUGACUCAGUUAUGAUAUUCUCCAAGAAGCCAUUUCUGAUCUCCUCUCCUCUGCAAAUUAAAUAAAGAGCCCUUUCUUUAUGCAUCUGUAGGACUCCAUGGCCACUUCUAACACUAUACUUACUACACUGAGUGGAUGUGUGUUCACAUUAGACUCUGAGCACCCUGAAAGGAGAAAUCGAGUCUUACUUAUUACUACAUAACCUGGGUCCCAGGCAUAUCAGUUAAAGGAAAGAAUAUAUAAAUGAAUUAACUGAGUGCUAUGGAAGUAGAGAGAAGAUGAUAACUGAAAUGAAAAUGACCUCACAAAUCUGCAUAUAUAUGCUCAGAGACUAUUUUGGUAUAUAUACUAUGCAGAGUUGUGCCCAGGCACAUGGUUGGAAGAGGAGAGAGCCACAUGUUUUUUGUGAACUAACUUGCAUAUUAUAAAACUUUGAUGGAAAUUGAGGAGAGGACAUAAAGGGAGGGGAAAUUCUACCUAAUUCCUAAAUAAUAGUCUUUCAAGAAAUUGGAAAAUACAUCUAGAUACCAGAGCUCAAUUCUAGAUUUGUUGCUUACUAGUUUUAUAAUCUUGGGCAAGUGCUUUGUCUUUUGAGACUGUCUCCCCACUUUCAACCUAAAGUGAAUUCAAAAUACUUUGCAGGAUUAUUUUGAAAAUCAAAUAAAAUCAAGUAUAUGAAUGAGAACACAGUGCUGGAUCCAUAGUGGUAAACGUCAACUUCCUUCUUCCUCUCAGGAUAAAACAGACCAGAGAAAGAGAAAAAUAAAAUAGCAAUUUUUAAACAAAUUACCAACACAGCUCAGAGGGACAAAGGUGUUAAGAAAAACUUUAGGCAGAAACCCUUUGUAAAGUGGAGGCAUUGCUACCAUUUGGGGAAAUUAUUGGGAACAAUAAAGAAACACCUUGGAUACAUUUUUUUUUUUAGUCUGAGAUAGAGAGAAAUUGGGGUUAAGUAAAAUAGCAGUGAUUGAUCUUUGAAUGCUUAAAUAGUACCAUUAAGUUUUCUAGUAGGAUAGCUCUGAUUCUGAUUGACAUCACUCAGCUCUAAUG